UUUUUUUUUCUUUUCAGUUUUUAAAUAUAUUUAAUUUAUAUUUCAUUUUGUGCUCUUUGAAUGUAAUAUUUCACUUUACUCUUUUAAAUCAUUACUGCCAAUAGGAUAGUAAUUAUAUGAAAAAUCUUGAUUAUAAUUAAGAUAACCAAUAGGUUUAACUGGAAUAAAACAAGAACAGUGAAUGUUACAGAAUUAAUAUAUAAUACUUUAUGAGUUAGGCAUGUCUUUAUUUUCUAGAUGUUACUCAUCUAACACCACUGAACACCUGGACGUGAGCAAUAAUCAUGAAACUUAAUCAUCUUUGAUAUCUGACUUCCUGAUAUCUUUAUGUGACUUCCAGACAGAAAAACCACAGAUACACAGAUUUUGUUUUGUUAUGAAAUUUUCUUUCUUGAAUAGGAGGAUAGAACAUAUUUUGCUAGUACUUUAUAGCUUGAUUUAUGAUGUUUAAAAAUGUAAAUUCUGUAAUAUGGCCCUGCAUGUGUCCUUUUGCCCAGAGCACUGAAGAGUCAGGGCCGGUGCUCUGGUGGGAAGAGCAGACAUGUCCAUGGGUACUUCUUGCCCCAACAAUGGCCAGAGAAAGAGUGCUGCUGGGGUUCACAUCUUCGUGGGUUCAUGUUAACGGGGAGUGGGGGGUGUAGUAAGACUAAGGAGGAAACCCCAAGGAGAAAGGAAAUCACUUAAUCUACACAUUUGCUCCUUACUGUGAUAAAGAUAAGUGAUAACAUCAUCCCCAUGUUUUUUUUUUUUUUUUUUCAUCAUCCCCAUGUUACAGAGGGUGGCUCAGAGAGGAUUCGUGAAUGGCUCAAGUCACGCAGGUUGCCUAGUUCUGAAACCACCUACAGCAGGGCAGCAGUAUCCCCCUGCAAACCUAGUAGAUGCCACUCAGUAGCUCUGUUACUCAGGUUCUUUCCAGCCAGCUUGACCUGGGUGCAGGUGCAGGGCCUCUAGGUGGUGGAGAAUGCAGCAUUUCCCCCACUGCCAGCUGCCUCAGGUAGCCUCAGAGCACCAGCAUGCCCAGACACAAGCACAUUGAUGACCUGUGUCCCUAGGCUGCCCCAGCAUUCUCCUGUAGGGGUCAAAGGACCUCUCUGUCACAGGUCUGACUCACAGCCCCACCCGGGCACUGAACCUCAGGACUUCUCAAUGCCAGGACUGGCCCUGGAGGAUGUGUUGGGGGAGGGUGGUAGCAGGCUUGGGGCUGUGCUCAGUGAGAGUCAAAGAGUGACCUGAGGGCAUGAGGGGAGGGAUAAGUCCCUGCCUCUUGUCCAGCCUAGGCUAGAGAGGGUUCUCCAUUCUUCUGAAGGCAAACCUGUCCUGAGAGGUUAGAAGGCUGCCCUGAAGCCACCCAGCCAGAGAGGGAGGCCCUUACUUGCUCUCUGUGCUGAUCCUGAUCUGUCCUCAAUCCCCUCAGCCAGCCUUUCAGGCUCCUACUCUGAUGGUGACCACCCUGGGACCUGGUAAGGGGAACACUGAGCCACACUCAAAAAACGUAGCUGAACCCCAGCCCUGUCCCAGGCUUGGGUCAUAGCCCCCAAGGGCUUUCCUAGGGGCCCUGUAGCAUAUCAUCUUCAUUAGCCAGGCAGGGAAACUGAGGCUCCAAUUGGCUGGUUGUGUGCUGCAGGCUGCCCAGCUGGGCAUUGGGUUGGGACUGCUCUACAUGGCCUGACGCUAAGAUUGAGGCCUGUACCCCAACUGUGGGACGGGGAUCUGAGGGAAAGGCCACAAAGGAAAAGACUGCCUGUAGGAAUGACAGGAGUUCUGACCAGGGGUUGUCUGUCCAUCAGGAAGGGGAAUUCUGUGAGCCAGGCCUGGCACCACUGGCCCUGCUCUCCCUCCUGCUCUCCUUAGCCCUUCGCACACUGCUGCUCACUGGUCUGAACAAUACAGUUGUGCCCAACAUCCCACCUAUACCUGUGUGCUCACACCCGCAUGCUGACCCAAUCCCCAGACACACAUGCACACACCCCCCUUCCCUACUGUUUCUGGUUGUCCACUCUGUGCCCAUUUCUGGGCUGGAAGCUGAGUACUGCAGAGGCUGUGCCAGAACUAGGCCUCUUCUGGGGCCCAGGAGACUUAAUGCUGAGAUGGUGGAGUCUCAGGAGGCAGCUGCAGUCAGGUAGGGCUUCCUGGAGGUGAGGACCCAAACUGAGGCCUCAGCACCCCUACCCCCCUCACUGAGGUCACUGUCUGUCCUCUGAGCCUCUCUCCCUGGAGUGGCCAGCAGGUUCCAGGAAGUGUCCCUUCACCCUGCAGUGCUGAUUCCAAGAACUGUAGCUCCUGGCAGGGCUUGCUCAGGAUCCUUUCCUAGAACACAGGCCUUGCCCCGCCCAGGCUGCUGGAGCCUAUUGGGCAGCUGGUGGAGGUAGUGGAGGAGGGGGUACCCUGGGAGGAGCCUCUGGAGGAACCAGACACUGGGAGGGGGGCCCAGGCUGUCUGCCUGGAGGGGAUGGAGGCCAGAAAGUCAGUGAGUGUGAGGGUGCUUUGACCCCUUGUUGCUAUGGGGGGGGCCCGUCCAGUGAUUUCAGCUCAGAGCCUCGCUGCACACACAGGAGGCUCGCUCCUUGGGCCCAGGAAUUUAGUAGGCUGCUGCAAUUCCACCCAACAUCUCACUCUGUGCCCCUGCUAGCCUGGCACCCUGGGGUCCCAUCCCGUGGACGAAAGGCACAGGCCUUAAUCUGGCCUCAUAGUGGGGCCUUCAUCAGACAACCUCCAGAGGGAGAGGCCAGGGGACAGGAGUGGCAGGCUCAGAGCUGCGAGAGGGGAAUGGGACUGUCAGUCUUGGGGCUCUUGGAAGGAUGUGACAUCUGCAUUAUUAAUACUCUUAAAAUUUCACCUAGCCUGGUUAGGACAGAGGAAGUCACCCCACCGCAUAGCUCAGCAAGUCAGGUCAGGUAGAGGGGGGUCCGGGGGACAGGAUCAGGUUCAUGGACAAGGACAGGCCCCAACCUCCGUCAAGGUCACGGGCCAGUCCUCCACCCCCACCCCCGCUGAGCUGGCAGCCCUGCCUGGCCCGCCUGGGACCUGCCAGAUCACGUUGAGCAACCAGUUCCUGAGAAGCGUUGAAGGCUGUUUGGUUUAAAAUUAACUCCCCCACUCCUCCCUCCCCUGCCUGUGGGCCUCCUCUGAGUUCUUGGAAGAGGCGCUCUGCUCUUUCUUCCUGGGAAGAGGCCUCCAGCCGCAGCUGCUCCGAUUCUAGUGAAAACACCUCACCCCGGGUGGGGGCGGGGGUGCGACACCAGCCUUCUCCGCCCUCUGAAAGGCCCAGGGAUCCUCCUGGAGCCUAGCAUGCCCUGGUUUGCCCAGUGAGACUCAGAGGAGAAAGGGAGUGAUUGUCAAGGUACUGGCAGGGGUGCUACUGCCCCAAUCGGGGGCCCGCUGGCUCUGAGCCAAGAGGUAGAGGGCUACAGAGACCCAGCCUGGGCCCUGGCGUAGAGAGAUCACGUGCGGACGGCAGACUCAGGACUUCGGCUUCUUUGAGACCCAUGUGGCUCAGAGAGAUAAAGCUAGCUGUGCGGGGUCCCCCAGCUUUGCUGGCCAGGCUGACAACACUGACCUGGCAGUGAUGCCCCAGGGCAGCCCCCGAAGUCACUUACCUUGGAGCCGGAGCCCGGAGCCAGAGUGCUGUCUGUGAGGAGGUCCUUGUCUCUUACCCACAC
rnacentral:lncRNA from 1 species